rnacentral:rRNA from 1 species
GUAAGUGGCAAGCGUUGUCCGGAAUUAUUGGGCGUAAAGCGCGCGCAGGUGGUUCUUUAAGUCUGAUGUGAAAGCCCCCCGGGCUCAACCGGGGAGGGUCAUUGGAAACUGGGGAACUUGAGUGCAGGAGAGGAAAGUGGAAUUCCACGUGUAGCGGUGAAAUGCGUAGAUAUGUGGAGGAACACCAGUGGCGAAGGCGACUUUCUGGCCUGUAACUGACACUGAGGCGCGAAAGCGUGGGGAGCAAACAGGAUUAGAUACCCUGGUAGUCCACGCCGUAAACGAUGAGUGCUAAGUGUUGGGGGGUUUCCGCCCCUCAGUGCUGCAGCUAACGCAUUAAGCACUCCGCCUGGGGAGUACGGUCGCAAAGACUG